rnacentral:rRNA from 1 species
UGGGGGAUAUUGCACAAUGGGCGAAAGCCUGAUGCAGCGACGCCGCGUGGGGGAUGAAGGCCUUCGGGUUGUAAACUUCUUUUGCUCUGAACAAGGCAUGCUAAUGGGUGUGUUGAGUGUAGGGGUUGAUUAGCGCCGGCUAACUACGUGCCAGCAGCCGCGGUCAUACGUAGGGCGCGAGCGUUGUCCGGAAUUAUUGGGCGUAAAGGGCUUGUAGGUGGCUGGUUGCGUCUGUCGUUAAAGCUCAUGGCUUAACUGUGGGUUUGCGGUGGGUACGGGCUGGCUUGAGUGCAGUAGGGGAGGCUGGAAUUCCUGGUGUAGCGGUGGAAUGCGCAGGUAUCAGGAGGAAUAGCGGUGGCGGAGGCGGGUCUCUGGGCUGUUACUGACACUGAGGAGCGAAAGCAUGGGGAGCGAGCAGG